rnacentral:misc_RNA from 1 species
CCGAAGCCGAAAACGAGAAAUCUAAUCAAUAAUCAACCAAGAAAAUCAAGAUUAGCCAUUCUAUAACUAUAAUCAUCAUCAAAACAGCAAGCAAGAAGCCAUGCGAGGACAAGAAGCUUAGAAAAAAUGGGUUAAAAGCAGAAAAAUGGGUUAAAAGCAUAAUUAAAGGGGAUGGAGGACGGUGAGAACAUAAGAGAGAAUAGGAGGGACAAAAUAGGUCAAAAGGAAAUUGACCGUAUAAAUCAUAGCGUUUUUCUCUAAUGCAGGGAACAAUCUUGAAUGAUACAGAAUUCUAACAACUACUCUCUCUGUAAUUAACUGUUAACAGUUCUAUAUCCAUUCCAAAAUGAGAGAUCAAAAUCAAUGGUAGCACUAGCAGCAAAAAGGGGAAAAAGAAAAAAAAUCUAAAAUAGUUGGCAUUACUAUAAAAAAGAAAAUCAGCAAUCAUCAUCAAUAAAACCACAGUUAGCAAAUAAAUAACAUGGAACAUAUGGAAAAUUCAGCAUAAUUAAAUGGUAAUCAUUACCUUUACAAUAUCACUUGUUUUACUUAUUGUUCCAAGGAUCCAAAGCUAUGAGGUGGCCACACCUAAAGACGGAAAAUAAAAAUGGUUCACUUAAUUCUUAUCAUCAAUCAACAUAGGUAACAAAAAAGAACAAAAGACUUGAUGAACCUUCAGAGCAUAAUACUCUACCUGUGAACUAUUAAUGGUCACAGGAAUGAUGGCAUAUUUGUAGGAAAAUUGUGCUCAUUAUACCAUGAUAAGGAUGUACAAAAACAUUACGCAACAAUAUUGAUUGAACAAGUUCUCUCAAUUCACAAUGAAAACAAUUUUUUUCCCCUCAACUGACAAGAUUUGAACUUGAGACUUGAAUCAACCUCACACCAUUCUUUGUAAGCCAACCAAAGCCAAAGGCUACAUAAGCUAAAGCCUUAGAAUAUGAGACAAUGAAGUUAACUUUGGAUAAAAAAUCAUCCACUCUAUACACGAAAUACUAUUCCAAAGAGCUAUUGAAAUCAAAAUACAGAUUUAGAAUAUAAACUUCUACUCCCCUUUUCACGCACACCCUCCCUCUCCUUACACUCUCUUUGGAUUGGGUGAGGGAAAAGUAAUUAAUGAAGGGAGGAUAAGAAGGGUUAUAAUAAAAAAAUUUUAUGUUUAGGAAGAGGUAAAUUAAUGAAAAGAGUAAAACAGGUAAUGUGUAUUCUUUAUGUUUGAGAAUAGGUGGAGAAAAGACAUUAAAUAAAGUAAAAAACACAGCAUCUCACCUCCACUUCCUUACACCCCAAACUGAGGUGUCGAAAAAAUAGAGAUUUGAGGAGUAAGGGAGAGUAAGGCAUCAACUCACUUCUUUCCAAACUAGAGUACAUAAUUUACUUACCCCUCUUUCACCUCCACCCAAACAUAGUGUUAGAAACCUAAAUCUAACAAUUCUUAGAAACAAACUUUUAAGAACACUAGUGUUAUUUGAAAAUUAUUAUUGUUGGUGGUGGGAUAAAUUGGGUUUUUGGAACCAUUUCCAAUUUUCUUUAUGGUUGAUUUUGUUGUGUUAGGAUGAUGUUAAUAGUGCUAAGAAAACAGCAUUGGCUGAGCUAUGGUGGCCAUGGCAGUCAUGUUCAAACACAUGCAUUUGGUUUACUGACCAGUGAUUACAGUUAACAAAAGCUUUAGUUUUGCAAUUUCAGUAGUUCAGUGUCAGAUCAGAGAUUUGCUGAACAAAUGACAUCACUGAAGUCGGCAAAAAUUGCUCAAGGAUUAUUAUAUGAAGUGAGAGCACCCUUAAUAUUAUGUUUUGGGCCAAGUCCUUUGCAUUCAAAUUUAUAUU